UUUGGAAGAGGAUCCAGCCACGGAGGCUAGACAACGGACUCAAAGAUCUAAAUUGGUUAUGCCUCCAUAAAUGUAUGCCGGUACGAGAAACUAUGUAUAGGCAUGGGUUGGCAAGAUCCCCUGUGUGCCCGAGGGCAGCUUGUGCAGGAGAGGAGACGAUUAGGCAUGUCAUGUGGGACUGUCCAUUUGCGGGGGCGGUAUGGGAUAAAGUUGGGACAUGGCUAGGCCAGGUGAUCCCUGGGUUUCACCUGACAUGGGCUAGGGUCGAAAGAGGGGUGAGCUUAGGGAAUGGUCAGGCAAGUUUCCUCAUUUGGCUAAUUGUUAGCCUAAUCAAGAGGAGUUUGUGGUUGGCCAGGCAAGAUCUGGUGAAAAGAAAUAGAGAUAGCGGUGUGGAAGGGGUAAUAAGGAGGGUGGAAGCAGACAUAAAGGGGAGAAUUAAAAGGGACAUUUUGAAGUGGGGGAAGCAUGCCGCAUUGGAGAGGUGGAAAGGAGGGUUUGGUUGGAUAUGGUGAAAUUUAGAUUCAUGUCAAAUUGGUUUCUUUGAGAAUUUCAGUUAUGUUGGUAGGGAUGAAAUGAUGACAUGGAUUUUGUACCCACUGAAUGAUAUGAUGCAUGUAUGGUGUAUUUGAGAAACUGUUUUGGAAUUGAAACCAGUUUUUUGUAAUAAAAAAAAAAAAAAAAAAAAAAAAUCUGUUCUUAUCAGUUUAAUAUCUGAUAGGUCCUCUAUAAGGGGACGACGUAUUAAACGGAUUUUUAGCACCGGGAGCUGAAAACGGGGCUCGCUCCGCUCACUCCACGCAUCGACCCGGCACUGCAGCGCCGCCGGGAACGGUGCGCCCUUCUCCUGCCUUGUGGAAAGCCAAACGCGGAACGCGAACGGAGAGGUUCGACGCUGGACCAAAAGACUCGAGUCGGGGUGGAUGGCAUCCCUUAGGGCUGGGAGCGGUGGGAAAACCCUCUGUGGACUCACCGAUGUUCCUCGUGGAACCUCAUUGGGCCCCCAGUCUCAAAUCGCCGCGUAUCGGCCGCGACGCGGCGCAGAAUCGACCGCCAGGCGAAGCCUCCGAAAAGGCAGCCAGAUUUGCGCUUUGGAUUGGCAGGGGAUAUUGCCCCAUUGCGACCGGUAUACAAUACCUGUUGAAUGUGCCCCGCAUUUUCCCUCCCUCUCUCUCACUCGUGGCCGAGGGCUUGGCUUGCGAGAGCCUGAGUACUCCUGAUGUUAAAAGCCAGGCCCUAAUUUCUCCGCAAUCCGA